GCCCUCGUUGAUCAGUGAUCACCUAUCACUCUUAUACAGAUUGUUAGCACUGAAAUAGGAGGUGGGGGUUCAAUUCCCCCCGAGGGCA